GGUAUUGAUUAUUUUAUUGAAUACUGUGAUAUGUAAAUAUUUGUCAAACAAUAUGUGACUGUAUUAUAAAAUAAAUAUUUAUUUAUUAUUAUUUAAGCGUACACAGCUAGUGGGAAAUGUUAUGGACAUAAUUGUGCAAAUCGUGAUACAAGCAUGAAAUAUGGUAUAAAGGUUGACUAAAUGAUACUUAUAAAAAAUCCGCUGCUGGCCAGAAAAAGAAAUCAUUUUUUCAAGAUGGCCACCGCAUAUUUUGGAAAUGGCGUCAUUACAAAUUGGCAAUAAUUCGUUAAUCCGUUGAAAGGUAUGUUAUAUGUAA
rnacentral:lncRNA from 1 species